rnacentral:rRNA from 1 species
UACAGGAGGGUGCAAGCGUUGUUCGGAAUUACUGGGCGUAAAGCGUGCGUAGUCGGUAUUGAGAGUCACGGGUGAAAGUCCCAAGGCUUAACCUUGGAACUGCCUGUGAAGACCUCAGUACUAGAGGUGUGAGAGGGGAUAGUGGAAUACCCAAGUGUAGCGGUGAAAUGCGUAGAGAGUUGGGUGGAACACCGGUGGCGAAGGCGGCUAUCUGGCUCACAACUGACGGAUCAGGCACGGAAAGCGAUGGGGGAGCAAACAGGG